rnacentral:rRNA from 1 species
AGAGUUUGAUCAUGGCUCAGAACGAACGCUGGCGGCAGGCCUAACACAUGCAAGUCGAACGCUCGUAGCAAUACGAGAGUGGCAGACGGGUGAGUAACACGUGGGAACCUUCCCUAUGGUUCGGAAUAGCUCAGGGAAACUUGGGGUAAUACCGGAUAAGCCCUUCGGGGGAAAGAUUUAUCGCCAUUGGAUGGGCCCGCGUCGGAUUAGCUAGUUGGUGAGGUAACGGCUCACCAAGGCAACGAUCCGUAGCUGGUCUGAGAGGAUGAUCAGCCACACUGGGACUGAGACACGGCCCAGACUCCUACGGGAGGCAGCAGUGGGGAAUAUUGGACAAUGGGCGCAAGCCUGAUCCAGCCAUGCCGCGUGAGUGACGAAGGUCUUCGGAUUGUAAAACUCUUUUGGCGGGGACGAUAAUGACGGUACCCGCAGAAUAAGCCCCGGCUAACUUCGUGCCAGCAGCCGCGGUAAUAC